ensembl:lncRNA
GUGUGUGUGUGUGUGUGUGUGUGUUUGUUGUAUAAUCAGAGGGAGGACCCCGCAUUGCCAUACAACUCCAGAGAAAAGCAUUUCUGAAGGAUGAGAAACAAAAAUGUUUGUGGUUCAGUGUUUCUCUGCACUUGUUUUUUUUUUGGGGGGGGGGUUUCAGUGUUUAUUCUGCAACAUUAAGAUGUCUUAACAGUUAUCGCAAAUCAGCACCAUCAGCUGUUACUGAGUGAUGUGAUGUUGAGAUGAGAGUGUUGGGAAAGUUUCUCUAAAGAUAAGUUUCCAAGGGGGUUAUUUGCCGAAAAUAUUUUGACUUGCCCGGUAGAACUCUUUGGGGGAAACAGAGGAGCUCUGGGCCUUUCUUAAGGCUUUGCACUGGGUUGUUUUUUUCGGGUAGACUCACCAGACUCAGCAGCAGCCGUUUGGGUGUUGAAGCUCGGCUGCCAUUUUGGUUCACCUGAAGGAAGCUGGUGUGAAUGAGGAGUAUCGGUGCCUUGACCUUGGUGAUCGCCACGAGCCGUCGGCGUCUGAUGCUUUGACGCGAGUAGAAAAAAAAUACAUUCUGUAAAGGGAUUGGACAAUAACAUGAUGCGGUGUCAUCGGAGAGGUUAUUGAUUUAAACAAAUAUACGGGGCUUUGAAGCACGCGCUCACACACACACACACCCUUGUCCUUGACUGUCUUUGGCUGUCCGUUUAUCUGACUACACUGUAUAAUUACAUCUACUCCAGGAGAGACAGAAAGAGAGGGAAAGGGAGAGAACCGAGGGAGGAAACCAAUAGGUGCAACAUCGUCGUCUUUUAUUUUAGCUCAUUCCAACGCUACAUGUUGCAUUCAUGUUUCUGUUGCGUGUAAGUCAUUUAGCAGGCGCUCUUACACAGAGGGACCUGCGGUACGGAUCUUUGCUUUGUCCUGCUCUUUGCAUUGUCCCCUCUGUGGGAUUCUACAUGUGGGUCUGGGUGUGUUACUGCUGGACCUCGGCUCUGGGAAAGGUAGUUUGGUAUGUCGUCAUAGUCUACUAUACUUGACACUAUUACUGCAACUAACUGCUCAAAAGGAUGCAGACGGGCGCAAGAUGGAUGGAUGGACAGAGAGGGGAGGGAUGGAUGGACAGAGAGGGGAGGGAUGGAUGGAUGGAUGGACGGAGUGGGAUGGAUGGAUGGACAGUGAGGGGAGAGGGAUGGAUGGACAGAGGGGAGAGGGAUGGAUGGACAGAGGGGAGAGGGAUGGAUGGACAGAGGGGAGAGAGAUGGAUGGAUGGACAGAGAGGGGUGAGGGGGUGGAUGGAUGGACAGAGAGGAGUGGAUGGAUGGACAGAGAGGGGUGAGGGAGGGAUGGAUGGACAGAGAGGGGAGAGGGAUGGAUGGAUGGACAGAGAGGGGCAAUGCCAAUGAAGCUCAUUUAAAUUGAGUCAGACAAAGAGGCUGCGAUUGUGUGAAUUUGUAUAUCUAAUCAGGUCAAAUAUGCCGCAACUAGAGUUUUGCAUUUUGGUAAAGGGGCAGAUGAGUGCGUUGUUGUGUUUUGAGGUGGUAAUCCGUUGAACUUUCCGUAGUUCAAUAAUCAAAAUCAAACUGAGAGUUUCUUAUUAUAGCUGAUACCCCAUUCUUCCAUUGAAUCUUAAUUCCCACUACAUUUGUAGUUGUUUUUUGGAAAGACCCUUAAAAAACACACAAAAAAAUGACACUGUGAUUAAAUUAAAAAUGCUGUUUCUGUAGAAUGUGUUUUUGUGCGAUUCCUUGUCAUUUGCAUCCGAAAGUGAAAAUGUGAUUCUCAGCGUGAUUCUGUUACCACGCUCUUGCCCUGGGUGUCCCUGAGUAAGGACACGGCCAUUGAGUCGAAUAAGGAUGAGGAGGAAGAAGGUUGCUUCUAAAGAACGGAGCGAUGACGUGUGGACCCAUUAACUAGAUGAUACCAUGAUCCCUGUUGUUCGGGAAGUUGCCUAGGGACAAAGUCUUUGUGGUGGAUUAUGGGAAAGUAGUUUGCCAGGCAUUCCCAUCCCUGCAGCACCGGCCAUAUCAGACAGGAGCAGGAGCGAUAUCAGGAGAGGGGAAAGAAAAUGAGCGGAGAGGCUGAGUGAGUGUGACUCCACGUUCUCCUUCUUACCAGGAGAGAAAACAUGGUUUUAUUUUUUGGGAUCCCCAUCAACCACAGCAGCAGGUUGACGUGUGAUUGUGUGUGUGUGCGGGGCUGUGUACAUUCCCUGUUUUGCCAUACAAUUUUGUUUGUCACUGUUCUUUUAAGGAUGUUUGAGCUUUGCUAAUUGGAGAUGGAAGAUGUUCCAUUCCAUCUUAACUCUGUCUCAUUUUGUAUGCUACUGCACACUUGUUUUGGACCUGUUUGCUGGGAUGAGACACCAGGAGCUAGGUGUGAAUUUGAGUGUCUUAGCUGUGUGCUAUUUGACUACAAUGGCCAUUUGGAACCCUCAUACAUUUUUAAUUUGUUUAUAAAACCCAAAAAGGAAGCAGUCAAUCUCUUUUUCAGCCCUCAUCCAGGAAAAAAGUAAUGUUACGUUGUUGAUGUUCGUUAUAUCCCAACACACACACUCACUCAAACCCCAGUCCUUGACACUACCCAUACCCAUUCCACAAAAAAAACCUUUUGCCUCCAUACACACAUUUCUGAACCCUGGUCUGCAUUAUUAAUGUCCUUUUAGCAGCCAGACUUCUUCUACGAUCUGUAUCACCUGUCUACUGAACCACACACAUACAGAGUCAUAGGUACUGACACACACACACACAGAGUCAGAGGUACUGACACACACACACAGAGUCAGAGGUACUGACACACACACACAGAGUCAGAGGUACUGACACACACAGACAGUCAGAGGUACUGACACACACAGACAGUCAGAGGUACUGACACACACACAGACAGUCAGAGGUACUGACACACACACAGAGACAGAGGUACUGACACACACACACAGACAGUCAGGUACUGACACACACAGACAGAGACAGAGGUACUGACACAGCCACACAGAGACAGAGGUACUGACACACACAGACAGUCAGAGGUACUGACACACACACACAGACAGUCAGAGGUACUGACACACACACACAGACAGAGACAGAGGUACUGACACACACACACAGACAGAGACAGAGGUACUGACACACACACACAGACACAGACAGAGGUACUGACACACACAGACACACACAGACAGAGGUACUGACACACACAGACACACCGGUGUGAGUCAGUUAAAUAUCAAGGUCUGUUUUCCGGGUUUCUUAGUCGUUGAUGUUGCUGGGAUGAGUCAUUGUUAUAGCUAGCCUAGCGAUGGCUAAUGGGAGAACAGUCCAGGUGAAAGGGGGGAAAGAUGUGGCCGGGGGGGGGUUUCUUUUUAUUCUAGAAACAUUUCUAAUAUUACAUCUUCGUUUUUUUGUGUAUCCCAUACGCGUGGCUCUUUGGGUGUCCAUGUAGACAGUUCAAUGAAUUUGGGACUAGGAUCGGUCUUGGUACUGUAUAAACCCCUACUGCUACCACACUGGUCUUGGUACUGUAUAAACCCCUACUGCUACCA